rnacentral:rRNA from 1 species
AGAACGAACGCUGGCGGCAGGCCUAAUACAUGCAAGUCGAACGCACUCUUCGGAGUGAGUGGCAGACGGGUGAGUAACGCGUGGGAACCUUCCCAAUGGUACGGAAUAACUCCGGGAAACCGGUGCUAAUACCGUAUAAGCCCCUCGGGGGAAAGAUUUAUCGCCAUUGGAUGGGCCCGCGUCGGAUUAGCUAGUUGGUAAGGUAAUGGCUUACCAAGGCUACGAUCCGUAGCUGGUCUGAGAGGAUGAUCAGCCACACUGGGACUGAGACACGGCCCAGACUCCUACGGGAGGCAGCAGUAGGGAAUCUUGGACAAUGGGCGAAAGCCUGAUCCAGCCAUGCCGCGUGAGUGAAGAAGGCCUUAGGGUUGUAAAGCUCUUUUGGCGGGGACGAUAAUGACGGUACCCGCAGAAUGAGCCCCGGCUAACUUCGUGCCAGCAGCCGC